rnacentral:rRNA from 1 species
AUGGCGUCCAACCAGAACCAGGCGAGCUACCGCGCCGGCGAGGCCAAGGGCCAUACCCAGGAGAAGACGGGGCAGGUGAUGGGCGCGGCCAAGGACAUGGCGUACGAGGCCAAGGACCGGGCGACGGACAUGGCGGAGCACGCGUCCGGGCAGGGGCAGGGCACCACGGAGGCCACCAAGCAGAAGGCCGGCGAGGCCACGGACAAGGCGUCCCAGACGGCGCAGGCGGCCAAGGACAAGGCUGCUAGCACGGUGCAGGCCGCCAACGACCGCACCGUCGAGAGCAAGGACCAGACCGGCACCUUCCUCGGCGAGAAGACGGAGAAGACCAAGCAGAAGGCGGCGGGGGCAGCGCAGUACACGCAGGACAGGACAUACGACGCGGCGCAGUACGCCAAGGAGUCCGCCGUCGCCAGCAAGGACAAGACCGGCAGCGUCCUCCAACAGGCCGACGAGACGGUGGUGAACGCCAUGGUGGGCGCCAAGGACGCCGUGGCCAACACGCUGGGGAUGGGCGGAGACAACACCAACACCAGCACCACAGACACCACAGAGAAGAUCGUCAGGGAUCACCACUAG